rnacentral:pre_miRNA from 1 species
GAAGUACUCCCUCCGUCCCAAAAUUCUUGUCUUAGAUUUGUCUAGAUACGGAUGUAUGAAGUCACAUUUUAGUAUUAGAUACAUCUGUAUCUAGACAAAUCUAAGACAAGAAAUUUGGGACAGAGGGAGUAGUUG